GUUCUCAAGAGAUCUGACAGUUUUAUAAGGGUCUUUUCCCCUUUUGCUCAGCACUUCUCCUUCCUGCCUGCCACCAUGUGAAGAAGGAUGUGUUUGCUUCCCCUUCCACCAUGACUGUAAGUUUCCUGAGGCCUCCCCAGCCAUGCUGAACGGGCUAAAUGUCAGGUUUACUUGGAAAAAAAAUAAAAGUGGAAGAUGAAAUUAGAAAGAUGGGCCCGUGUAAGAUUGUGAAGAGGCUUGAAUGCUCAGCUCAGGAGUACCGGUUAACAAGUUACAUGGUAUUGUACCUAUGUCACUGGUCCCUGAUCAACACAGCACCAGAGCGCCCUGGGAACAGGGAAACGGUACUCACGGUCAUGGACCUUGUAGCAGUGCGUCUGCAAGCGCUUCACGUCCCAUUCCUCUAGCACGCCAUGGGUCAUCAGCAACUGGAGGAAGCGCCGGUGGACAUCAGUCAUGACGCCCAUUCUCCUUGUGCUGCCCUGCAUGUGGGAACGAACUGAAAAGGAAGUAAAUGACACUAGUCAACCCCAAGCACAUCAGAAGCAACGUCCUGGGUCUUGUA
rnacentral:lncRNA from 1 species